GCUCGCCAGCUCGCGGCCGGCAACCGACAUCCCCGAUCCCCACCCCGGAAUUUUCCGCGCAUGAUCUUCUCGACUCGGAGGUCGGAGCGAGUCAUCCCAAUUCCCAAUCCGCGUGUGGGAGACGGAGACGGGUGAAACCCUAGAUGCCGCUUCCCCGCCCCACCUCGCCGUCGGCGUCCGCACCCGCAGAGCCGCGCCGCUCGCGGUCUCCGCCAUAGCGGUGCUCGCCCCUCCUCGACUCCUGGGCUCCGUCGUCGAGUUCAGACCUAUGUUGGCAUCACCAGAAGUUUCUACCAAAAUUGUGAUCCAUCAUGCUACAUUUUGGGCUGUCAUUGAACAUGAGAAACAAGUUAUGGACAGUUGAAGUCUUAAAAGUGUAAGGACUUGCAGGCGUGAGGAUCUGUAGGAAAAUUGUACCAUUUUGGGUAUCAUCUGCCUCCUCGUGCUCCAACAACCUUAUUGUCUUGUGGUGUACUGGGCUGUGAUAACUAAGGUAUCAUUCCUUCUGUUCCAUAUUUCACUCAUGAAGGACUCUACACUUUACUUUUAUGGAACAAAGUAACCUUUCUGUUGCUACUGAAAUUUGUUUUGAUAUAUUAAGUUUUA